rnacentral:tRNA from 1 species
GGUUGGAGUGGCCUGGGAGAUUAGGAAAAGCUCUAGCUUCCCAAGCUAGCUACGAGGGUUCGAUUCCCUUCACCCGCUCC